GUGUUCCCAGCGUGUCGCGCCAUGCCGUGCUGCUGCUAUGCCGCCGCUGCAGCGUGCCUCUUUGUGGCGGCCGCUCGCGACUGCCUUAUCGUCGUCGAGGUUGGAAUUGCUUUUUGCUCUUUGCGAUUUGCUGCGUUCCGCGUUGCGCCGGCCUCCAAUAUGCGGCACCUCCUCCGGGAGCCGGCGGAUUUCAGAUGAAGCGACUCACCGACGAUAGUGCCGGCUCCGGUAUCACGACGCAGCAGGCGCGGGCUGUUCAGCUGCCAAAACACGUCACUCCCCCAGCCCUCACAUGCCCCUCCCCUCUUGGCUGCCUUCCUCGCAGCGCACCGCUCCUCAGCCUCGUAUGCAGCGGCGCCGUCCAACCUUGCCGCCUCGAUGCCUCCGCUCCAACGGUUUGUCGUCUUUGCCGCCACCCGCCAUGCCCGAGCCACCUCUCCCUUGAUGGUAGAGCUUCCGGGAUCAACGUUCUCGCCUCGCACAUUUUCUGCUUCGUAUGGGCCCCUUGCGCCAGCCAAUAGCUGAUGUAGCAUCGCAGCUCACCAGCGGGGUUAUGCUGCAUUACAGAGGCAAAGCUUACUGCCAGGGAUGGCUCACCGGAGAAGGCGGGGCUACACUACGCCAGUGCAGCUCAUGAACGGGGACAACAUGUCUCACUGACGAAGCAUGCAAUGCAGCAGCUGUCAGCAGUCCUGCACAGGUCUGCAGCUGCAUCCUCUCCAAUUCUAUCACCCGUUGCUUACAAGUGAGUGACUCGUCCUGUCAUCUAUGGGGGAUGCACACCAUGUGUUUGAUGAUUUGCUUAUGAGAUGUGGCCUUAUGCCAUACCAUGGAGCCACACAAUGUGUUUGAUGGUUUGCCUCUGCAAUACUGGCCAAAUACGGAUGCUCAGGGUUCUGCAAAAAUAAGAAUGAAAUUGACUACAAAUGCGGCUGACAAGGACUCCUACUUGAUGAAGAGAAAUUCAGGCUACAUGCCUUGGCUAAGGUAACAAUGAUAGCUCAAGAACAUGAAUUUUAUUUAUGGAGCAGUAACUUUAGCAAUAUGAAAGUACCUUGGCCAUGAUGCUCCUAUAUAUGUCAGUUAAAAGUACUCAUAUAAAUAAUUCUAAACUGCUUACCUAUAGCUAUUUCAACACAAUACAUCAUCUGGUCGAACUUAUAUACUUUUACGAUUUUCUCCCCACGCCACACUAUAUAUUAACAUAUUCUCAUGACCUGUCUCUUUUCAUUUGAAAACCGAAAGUAAAUAUGUAGAUAGUCGAUGUUAUACAUAGAAGGAAAUAUUCUACUUUAAGAUUUUAUAUAUACAAGUAAAUACUCUACUUUGUCGGCUGAAAAUAAAGUGCAAGAGUAUAUAUACUCGGCCUCUUUGCUUCUUUUGAGUUGGCCCAAGAAUACCUUUCUUUUAUUUUUAUUUUAGUUUAUUUGUGACGAGUUAUUAGUUCAACAAACCAGGUCCCUGUAGGGGCAGUGCUUUUGUUUUAUGCAUAUAUAAUCUACCUUUUUUCAUUUGUAAGAUAUGAUUUUGCUUUAUGAAAAACUACCGUGUAUGGAGUAUGGAGUUUAGCAACAAAAGGAAAACAUAAGCGGUACAUUUGAAGACCUUAGUUGCUAUGCUCAUCCUUUGUCUUCGAUGUUCAGAAAUGAAGCGGAGGUAGAAGAGUUUGAGUGUGUUCAAGUUCAGAUGCUAUUUGAAUGCUUGAGACCAGCAACAAUCAUCAAACCAUAUAACCAUCUUUCCUUUGCCUUUUGGUGUAUGAUUAGAAAAGCUGGUCACAGAUGAAGAUGUUCUAAUGUGUACUUCUGGGAUGAUUGUUUGUUCCCCAAUAAACAACAGCAAGGGAAAGGAAAAGAAAACAGAGGAACAAAUAGCCUCAAUACUUAGGCGUGAUUCAAAGCAAGAUACCAUACAAAGAUAUCGUUAGUCAGGAAUAACUUUUGUAGCUGUUUAGAAAUACCAGGUAGCUAUGAGACGCAUCACAAAGCAUAUCUUUUUUUUUCUACUGCUCUUGGACGUCUGAAAUCUCAAUUGGGAAUGUUUUCUUUUGAUAAUCAAACAUUCCAUUGGCAUACCACUGGAUCACUUAGUGACAUGAUGGCAGCGAGACAUUUCCUACUUUUUACCUGCAACCUGUAUAACAUGCUAUGAGGCUGUGACAUCUGCCUUUUAUGCAUAAAUCAUGUCAUAA